rnacentral:rRNA from 1 species
UGGCGAACGGGUGAGUAACACGUGGGCAACCUGCCCAAAANAGGGGGAUAACACUUGGAAACAGGUGCUAAUACCGCAUAACCAUAGUUACCGCAUGGUAACUAUGUAAAAGGUGGCUAUGCUACCGCUUUUGGAUGGGCCCGCGGCGCAUUAGCUAGUUGGUGGGGUAAAGGCUUACCAAGGCAAUGAUGCGUAGCCGAACUGAGAGGUUGAUCGGCCACCAUUGGGACUGAGACACGGCCCAAACUCCUACGGAAGGCAGCAG